CGUACACUCCUACGGGAGGCAGCAGUGGGGAAUAUUGCACAAUGGGCGCAAGCCUGAUGCAGCCAUGCCGCGUGUAUGAAGAAGGCCUUCGGGUUGUAAAGUACUUUCAGCGGGGAGGAAGGCGAUAAGGUUAAUAACCUUGUCGAUUGACGUUACCCGCAGAAGAAUCACCGGCUAACUCCGUGCCAGCAGCCGCGGUAAUACGGAGGGUGCAAGCGUUAAUCGGAAUUACUGGGCGUAAAGCGCACGCAGGCGGUCUGUCAAGUCGGAUGUGAAAUCCCCAGGCUCAACCUGGGAACUGCAUUCGAAACUGGCAGGCUAGAGUCUUGUAGAGGGGGGUAGAAUUCCAGGUGUAGCGGUGAAAUGCGUAGAGAUCUGGAGGAAUACCGGUGGCGAAGGCGGCCCCCUGGACAAAGACUGACGCUCAGGUGCGAAAGCGUGGGGAGCAAACAGGAUUAGAUACCCGGGUAGUCC
rnacentral:rRNA from 1 species